CACCGCCUGUCACACUAUGGGAGCUGGUCAUGCCCAAAGUCGUUACCUUAAUCGCAAGGAGGGGGGGUGUGGAAGGCAGGGUUAGUGACUGGAGUGAAGUUGCAACAAGGUAGUCGUUCCUCAACUCCAAGGAAUACUG